rnacentral:rRNA from 1 species
GAUGAACGCUGGCGGCGUGCCUAAUACAUGCAAGUCGAGCGAACAGACGAGGAGCUUGCUCCUCUGACGUUAGCGGCGGACGGGUGAGUAACACGUGGAUAACCUACCUAUAAGACUGGGAUAACUUCGGGAAACCGGAGCUAAUACCGGAUAAUAUAUUGAACCGCAUGGUUCAAUAGUGAAAGACGGUUUUGCUGUCACUUAUAGAUGGAUCCGCGCCGCAUUAGCUAGUUGGUAAGGUAACGGCGUACCAAGGCGAGGGUGCGUAGCCGACCUGAGAGGGUGGUCGGCCACCCUGGAAGUGAGACACGGUCCAGACUCCUACGGGAGGCAGCAGUAGGGAAUCUUGCGCAAUGGGCGAAAGCCUGACGGAGCAACGCCGCGUGAGUGAUGAAGGUCUUCGGAUCGUAAAACUCUGUUAUUAGGGAAGAACAAAUGUGUAAGUAACUAUGCACGUCUUGACGGUACCUAAUCAGAAAGCCACGGCUAACUACGUG